UACGUAGGGUGCGAGCGUUGUCCGGAAUUAUUGGGCGUAAAGAGCUCGUAGGCGGUCUGUCGCGUCUGCUGUGAAAUCCCGAGGCUCAACCUCGGGCUUGCAGUGGGUACGGGCAGGCUAGAGUGCGGUAGGGGAGAAUGGAAUUCCUGGUGUAGCGGUGAAAUGCGCAGAUAUCAGGAGGAACACCGGUGGCGAAGGCGGGUCUCUGGGCCGAUACUGACGCUGAGGAGCGAAAGCGUGGGGAGCGAACAGG
rnacentral:rRNA from 1 species